UACGUAGGGGCUAGCGUUAUCCGGAAUUACUGGGCGUAAAGGGUGCGUAGGCGGUUUCUUAAGUCAGAGGUGAAAGGCUACGGCUCAACCGUAGUAAGCCUUUGAAACUGGGAAACUUGAGUGCAGGAGAGGAGAGUGGAAUUCCUAGUGUAGCGGUGAAAUGCGUAGAUAUUAGGAGGAACACCAGUUGCGAAGGCGGCUCUCUGGACUGUAACUGACACUGAGGCACGAAAGCGUGGGGAGCAAACAGGAUUAGAUACCCCGGUAGUCCCUGAGCGGGCU
rnacentral:rRNA from 1 species